UACAGGGGGGGCAAGCGUUGUUUGGAAUUACUGGGCGUAAAGGGCUCGUAGGCGGCCAACUAAGUCACACGUGAAAUCCCCAGGCUUAACCUGGGAACUGCGUGUGAUACUGGAUGGCUUGAAUUCGGGAGAGGGAUGCAGAAUUCCAGGUGUAGCGGUGAAAUGCGUAGAUAUCUGGAGGAAUACCGGUGGCGAAGGCGGCAUCCUGGACCGACAUUGACGCUGAGGAGCGAAAGCUAGGGGAGCAAACAGG
rnacentral:rRNA from 1 species